rnacentral:rRNA from 1 species
AUAUUUCCGCCGCCGACCCUCAACCGAGGGUGUCGGACGUCGCGACCCGUUCGCCCAGGUCGAUACUCAGGGACGCGUUUCAAGUUCGCCGGCGCGGUCGUCUCGGCGGCCGCGUCACGAUGGCGCGUUUCCGCUGUUCUCGACGCGGACGGUAGCUUUGCGCGCGGGUAAUCGACGCGGUCCUUUGUCCGGCGUCUCCGUACGUCGGACGGCGCUCGCGUCGACGCCGGUCAGCGACGAAUCUUCGGGCCUCUUUCCGACCCGUCUUGAAACACGGACCAAGGAGUCUAGCGUGCGCGCGAGUCGCGGGGUAUCCGAGUCGUCGUAGUCGUUUCGGCGGCGAACGCGACUCGUCACGAUACGAAACCCGUGUACGUACGUUGUGCGAAGGCGUAAUGAAAGUGAAAGGCGACGCUUCGCGCGUCGCCGGGGGAAGACGGUGUUCCGUGUACCACGUUUCGCGGUCAUACGUGUACCGCGGCCGGACACCCGCAUUCCCAGGGCGUCCCGCUCGUACGUCGGCCGUCGGGUCUCGGCUCGGCGGUCGGCGAACUGGGGCGCACCUACAGCGUGCACGCUGGUACCCGAAAGAUGGUGAACUAUGCCCGGCCAGGAUGA